rnacentral:rRNA from 1 species
GACGAACGCUGGCGGCGUGCUUAACACAUGCAAGUCGAACGGAAAGGCGCUGCUCUUGUGGGGUGCACGAGUGGCGAACGGGUGAGUAACACGCGAGUAACCUGCCCUUGACUUUGGGAUAACUUCAGGAAACAGGGGAGAAUACCGGGGAGGAGAUCCUGCGGCAUGGGGGGGGAUGGAAAGAUUCGGCGGUUGGGGAUGGAUUCGCGGCUUAUCAGCUGGUUGGUCGAGUAGGGGCGUACCAAGGCUUUGAGGGGUAGGCCACCUGGGAGGGUGGACAGCCUCCUGAGGACUGCGGUAGGGACCAGACUCCAACGGGCGGCAGCAGUGGGGAACCUUACACAAUGGGCGGGAGCGUGAUGCAGAGGCGCCGCGUGCGGAAUGACGGCCUUCGGGUUAUGAACAGCUUUCGCAUGAGACGAAGCGUGCGUGACGGUAAUGGAUAAAGAAGCACCGGCUAACUACGUG